UACGUAGGGUGCGAGCGUUGUCCGGAAUUAUUGGGCGUAAAGAGCUCGUAGGCGGUUUGUCGCGUCUGCUGUGAAAACGCGAGGCUCAACCUCGCGCCUGCAGUGGGUACGGGCAAACUAGAGUGUUGCAGGGGAGACUGGAAUUCCUGGUGUAGCGGUGAAAUGCGUAGAGAUCCGGAGGAACACCAGCGGCGAAGGCGGCAUCCUGGACUGGUACUGACGCUCAGGAGCGAAAGCGUGGGGAGCGAGUCCGG
rnacentral:rRNA from 1 species